rnacentral:rRNA from 1 species
UACCAGCACCCCGAGUGGUCGGGACGUUUAUUGGGCCUAAAGCAUCCGUAGCCGGUUCUACAAGUCUUCCGUUAAAUCCACCUGCUUAACAGAUGGGCUGCGGAAGAUACUAUAGAGCUAGGAGGCGGGAGAGGCAAGCGGUACUCGAUGGGUAGGGGUAAAAUCCGUUGAUCCAUUGAAGACCACCAGUGGCGAAGGCGGCUUGCCAGAAUGCGCUCGACGGUGAGGGAUGAAAGCUGGGGGAGCAAACCGG